UAAUACGACCAAUGUUUGUAACAUUAAUCUCUCUGUAGGCUUGUUCAUGGUUAGAUCAUGAGUAUUCAUUUCAUGGUAUAGACCGCGACGUUGGUUGGUCAUUGUAUUUAUAUGGAACGAUGAAGUUUGCUUAUCAAAUUUCCUUUUCAUUUCGUUUCAACUCAUCAACAAUUAUAUCCAUGUUAUCGAUUGACUGUCUCGCCA